UUCUAUGGUGUAUUUUUCACCUCAUCUUUCAUCUUAACAAAUGAGCUACAUUGUUCUUUUAUUUGAGUGAAUGCAGAUUCAGCUUCCAUCUUUAUUAUUUUCCUAUCACUGUAAGCACUAACCAAUUCUUCCUUCGUCUUCAUUAUCUUCAACAUUACAUUCAUGUCCUUUACUUUCUUCACCAACUUUGGAAUAAUGAACUUAGAUCGCUC
rnacentral:lncRNA from 1 species